rfam:Pseudogymnoascus pannorum VKM F-103 contig_1779, whole genome shotgun sequence.
UCCCUCGUGGCGCAAUUGGCUAGCGCGUUCGACUGUUACCAGAGUUUCUUUACAGUUCUCUGAUAUCGAGAGGUUGGUGGUUCGAGCCCACCCGAGGGAG